GACGAACGCUGGCGGCGUGCUUAACACAUGCAAGUCGAACGGAAAGGCCCUGCUUUUGUGGGGUGCUCGAGUGGCGAACGGGUGAGUAACACGUGAGUAACCUGCCCUUGACUUUGGGAUAACUUCAGGAAACUGGGGCUAAUACCGGAUAGGAGCUCCUGCUGCAUGGUGGGGGUUGGAAAGUUUCGGCGGUUGGGGAUGGACUCGCGGCUUAUCAGCUUGUUGGUGGGGUAGUGGCUUACCAAGGCUUUGACGGGUAGCCGGCCUGAGAGGGUGACCGGCCACAUUGGGACUGAGAUACGGCCCAGACUCCUACGGGAGGCAGCAGUGGGGAAUAUCGCACAAUGGGCGGAAGCCUGAUGCAGCAACGCCGCGUGCGGGAGGACGGCCUUCGGGUUGUAAACCGCUUUCGCCUGUGACGAAGCGUGAGUGACGGUAAUGGGGAAAGAAGCACCGGCGAACUACGU
rnacentral:rRNA from 1 species